CAAGGCCGCCACUCACACAGUCCACACCACACUCAACAACAUCCACUCUCCAACACUCCACUCAACAUGCACAACCUGCCCGCCAUCAUGACGCUGACCAGGGAGCCGAUUGGCUCGGCUUGGCGGCAGCAGGCUGUUCUUUCGGCACUCUUCCGGCCUCUACAAUAUCGGCAUACUCGAGUGCGAUAGCAACUCGAGUGAGACUGAUUUUCGGUCUUCUUUCGACACUCUUCCGUCUUCUUCGAUAUCAGCCUGUGCUAAUGCAACGGCUAUUCGUGCAGGACUGAUUUUCGGCCUUGUCUCGUUUAAUGACUCGAUCGCUUCCUUUUGACAUUUUGGUUUCGACCUCAUCUUUUGGCUCAUUUCAAUAUAUCUACUUUUUGUUCA